rnacentral:rRNA from 1 species
AGAAUCAACGCUGGCGGCGUGCCUAACACAUGCAAGUCGAACGAGAAAGUGGAGCAAUCCAUUAGUAAAGUGGCGCACGGGUGAGUAACACGUGACUAACCUACCCUUGAGUGGGGGAUAACCUAGAGAAAUCUGGGCUAAUACCGCAUAAUACCUUCGGGUCAAAGGAGCAAUUCGCUUUAGGAGGGGUCGCGGCCGAUUAGUUAGUUGGCGGGGUAAUGGCCCACCAAGACUGUGAUCGGUA